rnacentral:rRNA from 1 species
AUGCAUACAUUGUGCAUGAGUAGAGGGGGAAAGUUUAAGAGCGAUGACAAGAAAAAUAUUGCUGAUUUCUUUGGAGUGGGUGUUUGGAAUAUACAAAGAAUUUGGAAGAAAGCGAUGGAGCAAAUUGCUGAAGGUCUGGACGUAGAUGUUUCAAGUCAGAGGAAAGGAAAUUGUGGAAGAAAGGCGAAAGACAUUAAUCUAGAGCAAAUCCCUACCAUCCCACUGAACAGGAGGUCUACUAUUAGGUCACUUGCCUGGCAACUCGGGUGCAGCCCUACGACACUCCACCGGAAGUUCAUGCUGAAGUUGAUAAAGAGGCAUACAAACUGUUUGAAGCCAACUCUGAAUGAAAAGAACAAGAAGGAUAGAAUGAAAUUUUGCUUGUCAAUGCUUGAUGAGACAACAACACAAUCUGGAAGGCCAAAAUUCAAGACCAUGCACAACAUUAUUCAUAUUGAUGAGAAAUGGUUCUAUAUGACCAAGUAAAAAAGGAACUAUUAUCUGCUGUAUGGGGAGGAAGAGCCUACGAGAACUCUGCAAAACGGCAGUUGUAUUGGAAAGGUUAUGUUCUUGACAGUUGUUGCUAGGCCGAGGUGGGAUAAUGAAGGAAAUGUGACCUUCUCUGGAAAAAUUGGAAUUUGGCCGUUUGUGAAAGAAGUUCCGGCUCAGAGGAGAAGCGACAACAGGCCCAGAGGAACAUUGGAGACAAAGUCCAUAAAAGUCAACAGGCAAGUAAUGAGAGAGUUCAUGAUAGAUAACCUACUGCCAGCAAUACAAGCAUCUUGGCCUAAGAAUGAUGUUGGGCAAACCAUCUAUAUAUAG